rnacentral:rRNA from 1 species
UACGUAGGGGGCGAGCGUUAUCCGGAAUUACUGGGCGUAAAGGGUGCGCAGGCGGCCAUUUAAGUCAGAUGUGAAAGGCUACGGCUUAACCGUAGUUAGCAUUUGAAACUAGAAGGCUUGAGUGCAGUAGAGGAGAGUGGAAUUCCUAGUGUAGCGGUGAAAUGCGUAGAUAUUAGGAGGAACACCAGUGGCGAAGGCGACUCUCUGGACUGCAACUGACGCUGAGGCACGAAAGCGUGGGUAGCGAACAGGAUUAGAUACCCUGGUAGUCCACGCCGUAAACGAUGAGUGCUAGGUGUUGGAGGAGACAUCCUUCAGUGCCGGAGCUAACGCAUUAAGCACUCCGCCUGGGGAGUACGUACGCAAGUAUGAAACUCAAAGGAAUUGACGGGGACCCGCACAAGCAGCGGAGCAUGUGGUUUAAUUCGACGCAACGCGAAGAACCUUACCAGGGCUUGACAUCCCUCUGCCGUAGCUAGAGAUAGCUAUUUAUCUUCGGAUACAGAGGAGACAGGUGGUGCAUGGUU